AGAAAGAUCGCCAGUAUGAACACUGCAAGACUAGUGUGACUGGUGUGUAGGGUACUUUAAACUGACUAUCCAGUCCCAGCUAGCGGACAACCAAGGAAUAUGAUUUGGACCCAUGGCGGUUGUGUAGCAAAAAGAAAAAAGUAUCUAAGACAAUCAUUUGCAAAUAUGAAAUAAACUGCAAAUAAGUAUACUAUUUCCAGUAACAUUUUAAGAAACAUUUAAUAUGAAGUCGCAAGCCUUAUUUCAAACACUUAUUAGUAGCUGUAUACUACUAAGUAUAUCAGCAGUUAUAACUAAACUAAAGGUUCUGUUAAUACUAGGGGUGUGCAGCAGAUUUGAAUGAAUCCUGAAUCUUGAAGCAGAUGGUUCAGAAGGAUUCUGGGCUUGUUCAACCCUACAGAAACCAAGUAGGGACCUCCAAAGCACUUAGUGGCUGCACUUUGGGUUGACAGUGGACACCAGACAAUAUUUAUUUUAAAUUUGCCUACAGGCAUGUGAGACGGUGCUGGAGCUGUGACAAACACAAGGCCCACAUUCCUAGAACUAGCCAAAUCUGUAAAAGAAUGGAAGUUGGAAAGUCCAUCAAGACAUGAAAGCAAUAGAUUACUAAAAUAACAUUUCGGUCCUAAAAGCAAGCUGUCACUUGACAUAGGGUUAACAUAAAACUCAUGUCAAGCAUCUGAUGUGGCAUCUGGGAAGAAAGCCAGCAUUUAAGAAUCACUAGUUUGCUUCCACCAUGAGUGACUAGAAGAGCUGAACAAAUAGGCAUAAAAGCAAACAUAUCCCGUGUGCCCGAGAGACAAAUGUGGUUCUACUAAAAACCAAGGUACUUCACUGCUUCCAACUAUGUAAAUAUCCAGAGUCUGUAGGAAAAGCAAGCCUAACCUGAAGACCAGAUGGACCCAGGUACAUUAUCUUUAUCCUUAAGUACACAAGUGGAAGCUGACUUAGCUUACAUUUAAACAGGAAGAUGUGAUUAGUCUUUAAUAUUUUAAGUGUUUGUUUAACUUUAGUUUCCCAGUUCAUUACCUCAGCUUUAAAGCUACUGAAAUGCAAUUAACUGAACAGGCUAAGAAGGGGUGGGAAGAACUAAUUGCUGGCCAAGAUAUGGGCUUGAAGACAGUAAGUGAUUGAGCAAUUCAACAGAACCUGUUGGGUGUGAUUUAAUUACAUGAGAAUUUUUUUUGGGUGUUGCACUUAGAGAAAUUAAAUAAGAAUGACUUUAAGGUGGGUUUAAAAGGCAGCCAUAUUUAGAUGCAAGCAAAAAAUACAUUUCCUGGCACAGGUCCUUGGCCAUCCACAAAACAUGUUGUUCAAUGCAACUCACGGCCGUCUCACAUUAAGUAGAUGAGAUACGGCUUACUGCCUGUGUGGGACAAUAAAAUUGCUCUUUUUGAAAGA